rnacentral:rRNA from 1 species
UUAAGCGACUAAGCGUACACGGUGGAUGCCCUGGCAGUCAGAGGCGAUGAAGGACGUGCUAAUCUGCGAUAAGCGUCGGUAAGGUGAUAUGAACCGUUAUAACCGGCGAUUUCCGAAUGGGGAAACCCAGUGUGUUUCGACACACUAUCAUUAACUGAAUCCAUAGGUUAAUGAGGCGAACCGGGGGAACUGAAACAUCUAAGUACCCGAGGAAAAGAAAUCAACCGAGAUUCCCCCAGUAGCGGCGAGCGAACGGGGAGCAGCCCAGAGCCUGAAUCAGUAUGUGUGUUAGUGGAAGCGUCUGGAAAGGCGCGCGAUACAGGGUGACAGCCCCGUACACAAAAAUGCACAUGCUGUGAGCUCGAUGAGUAGGGCGGGACACGUGGUAUCCUGUCUGAAUAUGGGGGGACCAUCCUCCAAGGCUAAAUACUCCUGACUGACCGAUAGUGAACCAGUACCGUGAGGGAAAGGCGAAAAGAACCCCGGCGAGGGGAGUGAAAAAGAACCUGAAACCGUGUACGUACAAGCAGUGGGAGCACGCUUAGGCGUGUGACUGCGUACCUUUUGUAUAAUGGGUCAGCGACUUAUAUUCUGUAGCAAGGUUAACCGAAUAGGGGAGCCGAAGGGAAACCGAGUCUUAACUGGGCGUUAAGUUGCAGGGUAUAGACCCGAAACCCGGUGAUCUAGCCAUGGGCAGGUUGAAGGUUGGGUAACACUAACUGGAGGACCGAACCGACUAAUGUUGAAAAAUUAGCGGAUGACUUGUGGCUGGGGGUGAAAGGCCAAUCAAACCGGGAGAUAGCUGGUUCUCCCCGAAAGCUAUUUAGGUAGCGCCUCGUGAAUUCAUCUCCGGGGGUAGAGCACUGUUUCGGCAAGGGGGUCAUCCCGACUUACCAACCCGAUGCAAACUGCGAAUACCGGAGAAUGUUAUCACGGGAGACACACGGCGGGUGCUAACGUCCGUCGUGAAGAGGGAAACAACCCAGACCGCCAGCUAAGGUCCCAAAGUCAUGGUUAAGUGGGAAACGAUGUGGGAAGGCCCAGACAGCCAGGAUGUUGGCUUAGAAGCAGCCAUCAUUUAAAGAAAGCGUAAUAGCUCACUGGUCGAGUCGGCCUGCGCGGAAGAUGUAACGGGGCUAAACCAUGCACCGAAGCUGCGGCAGCGACACUAUGUGUUGUUGGGUAGGGGAGCGUUCUGUAAGCCUGUGAAGGUGUGCUGUGAGGCAUGCUGGAGGUAUCAGAAGUGCGAAUGCUGACAUAAGUAACGAUAAAGCGGGUGAAAAGCCCGCUCGCCGGAAGACCAAGGGUUCCUGUCCAACGUUAAUCGGGGCAGGGUGAGUCGACCCCUAAGGCGAGGCCGAAAGGCGUAGUCGAUGGGAAACAGGUUAAUAUUCCUGUACUUGGUGUUACUGCGAAGGGGGGACGGAGAAGGCUAUGUUGGCCGGGCGACGGUUGUCCCGGUUUAAGCGUGUAGGCUGGUUUUCCAGGCAAAUCCGGAAAAUCAAGGCUGAGGCGUGAUGACGAGGCACUACGGUGCUGAAGCAACAAAUGCCCUGCUUCCAGGAAAAGCCUCUAAGCAUCAGGUAACAUCAAAUCGUACCCCAAACCGACACAGGUGGUCAGGUAGAGAAUACCAAGGCGCUUGAGAGAACUCGGGUGAAGGAACUAGGCAAAAUGGUGCCGUAACUUCGGGAGAAGGCACGCUGAUAUGUAGGUGAGGUCCCUCGCGGAUGGAGCUGAAAUCAGUCGAAGAUACCAGCUGGCUGCAACUGUUUAUUAAAAACACAGCACUGUGCAAACACGAAAGUGGACGUAUACGGUGUGACGCCUGCCCGGUGCCGGAAGGUUAAUUGAUGGGGUUAGCGCAAGCGAAGCUCUUGAUCGAAGCCCCGGUAAACGGCGGCCGUAACUAUAACGGUCCUAAGGUAGCGAAAUUCCUUGUCGGGUAAGUUCCGACCUGCACGAAUGGCGUAAUGAUGGCCAGGCUGUCUCCACCCGAGACUCAGUGAAAUUGAACUCGCUGUGAAGAUGCAGUGUACCCGCGGCAAGACGGAAAGACCCCGUGAACCUUUACUAUAGCUUGACACUGAACAUUGAGCCUUGAUGUGUAGGAUAGGUGGGAGGCUUUGAAGUGUGGACGCCAGUCUGCAUGGAGCCGACCUUGAAAUACCACCCUUUAAUGUUUGAUGUUCUAACGUUGACCCGUAAUCCGGGUUGCGGACAGUGUCUGGUGGGUAGUUUGACUGGGGCGGUCUCCUCCUAAAGAGUAACGGAGGAGCACGAAGGUUGGCUAAUCCUGGUCGGACAUCAGGAGGUUAGUGCAAUGGCAUAAGCCAGCUUGACUGCGAGCGUGACGGCGCGAGCAGGUGCGAAAGCAGGUCAUAGUGAUCCGGUGGUUCUGAAUGGAAGGGCCAUCGCUCAACGGAUAAAAGGUACUCCGGGGAUAACAGGCUGAUACCGCCCAAGAGUUCAUAUCGACGGCGGUGUUUGGCACCUCGAUGUCGGCUCAUCACAUCCUGGGGCUGAAGUAGGUCCCAAGGGUAUGGCUGUUCGCCAUUUAAAGUGGUACGCGAGCUGGGUUUAGAACGUCGUGAGACAGUUCGGUCCCUAUCUGCCGUGGGCGAUGGAGAACUGAGGGGGGCUGCUCCUAGUACGAGAGGACCGGAGUGGACGCAUCACUGGUGUUCGGGUUGUCAUGCCAAUGGCACUGCCCGGUAGCUAAAUGCGGAAGAGAUAAGUGCUGAAAGCAUCUAAGCACGAAACUUGCCCCGAGAUGAGUUCUCCCUGACUCCUUGAGAGUCCUGAAGGAACGUUGAAGACGACGACGUUGAUAGGCCGGGUGUGUAAGCGCAGCGAUGCGUUGAGCUAACCGGUACUAAUGAACCGUGAGGCUUAACCUU